UCUCCGUAGGUGAACCUGCGGAGGGAUCAUUACAGAGUUCAUGCCCUACCGGGUAGAUCUCACACCCUAUGUUAUUAUUACUUUGUUGCUUUGGCGGGCCGUCAGGCUCCGGCCCGACUACCGGCCCCGGCUGGUAAGCGCCCGCCAGAGGACCCAAAACCCUGAAUAUUAGUGUCGUCUGAGUACUAUAUAAUAGUUAAAACUUUCAACAACGGAUCUCUUGGUUCUG
rnacentral:misc_RNA from 1 species